CAAACAUGAAAACUUGAAUAGAAAUGCAACAAAAGUUUAUGUUAAACCUUGUGGUUUAGCUCUUUGAUUUCGUCGCUUAGCAUUUGAUCCUGCAAGCAGAAAAUAGCAUAGGAGUAAUUGCAUAAAUAUUAUCAUUUGAUCUUGAAUGUGGUUGGUGAAAAUUUCAUCCAAUUCAUAUGGUGUCAUACCUUUUUCAUGCGGACACCUUUCAAACUCAUUUCAAGUUGGUUUUCCAGUUUUUGUAGAUCAUUGAUGCUUAAGCCAGAUAGUUCUUCUCCCAUCAAUUGCCUGCAACCCAUCAAAGUGGAAUUUAUGUAUGCUAUUCCUCAUCACAUGUGGGAAACAUGAUAUAAUUUCCCAUUGUCAGGCAACAUGGGUUUCCAUCGCAUGGCUCCGUCUCUCAAAGUAAAGCCAGGUUCUUUCUCCGCUUCUCUUUCUUUCUGUCGAUGGUCCUCAUUUUGAAAGAAAGCUGAAGAUGAAUAGUCAAAGUGAUAAAAGCACGGUUGCUGUUUUGGUUCCUCAAAUUGAUGCGGAUAUAUAUUUGUAGUUGUCCAUGUUCUUAUUACUAUCUUACUAAGAAAGUUGGAGACUGAAAGGAAUAUGCCUUUAAAAGAGGAAGAUGUAACGUUGGAAGGUAGAUGUUUUUUUUUGAGCAAGUGGAAGGUAGAUGCUUAUAUGGCUUUAAAGAAGUGAUAGACAAUGAUAUGAAUGGUUCUUGCAAACAAUUGUGUCCAACAGGGAUAAUUUUUAUGGAUUAAAUGGAAGCAGUUAAUAUAUAAUUUACCUUGACUUCUGAAGCAGGAUUCCUCACUUGAUGUUCUUCUUUUACCCUCUUGUAGCGUUCUAUUACAGAUUUCAUGCUGAUAACAUGAUA